UGGGUUUACAAUUACUUUCUUUUUAUUUCAAAAAGCUGUGAGAACAUUGCACAAAAGAGCAAGGAACUACACAAUUAACUGAGCAUAGAAGGAAAUAUUGAAAAUGACUGUAUACAAAGCUUUGGUAAGAGUACAAAAGAGAACUAGAAUAAAGGAAAACACAUUUGCCUAAUCACUGAUCUAUUACUGAAUAUAAUGGAAGUAAGUGUAGCUAAAUUCUGAAAUUGGCAUGACUUUUAAUGAGCAGCAUGCUUCUCUAAGGUGCGUGCCUGUGUACUUCUUGGAAUGGAAGCUCAGAGCUGACUAUCUCAUGUGGAAGUGUUAGCUUGAAAGUCAGGCUUUUCCCUUUUGUAUUUUUUAAGCUUUUCUGUAUUGCAACUUCCACGGGGAACUUGACAACUCAAACUGUAACUAAAACACCAGAGAGAAAUUACAAGGUUUCCCUUUUCAUGAGUAAUGAGAUACAAAACCCACCUACCUCCCUGCUCUGCUCUGCAGGUGUUCACCACCUUUAUUUUCAGGCAGUCCAACUGAUUACUUAAACAACUCUAUCUAAAUUGUUUUGUCUUUUUUUUUUUUUUCUUUCUUUGAAUCUUGCAUUUUGUUGCUUCUUUUCAGCCGCAGCAAGGAAAUAGGUCAAAAGAUGUGUUUGCUUUUCCUAACUGUAUUGGCAGGCCUGAUGAACAGCGUUCUUUCUGCACUGACAAAAAUGAAGACAUUUGUGUUUAAAAAGAAAAAAAAAGGUAGUUAAAGAGAGAUUACUACACACUUGCCUUUACUACCUUAACUGCAGAAAGGCGCAGUGCUGUUGAUUUUCUAGGUAAUCCCCAAAAACUUUCUGCUUGAACCUAAAUUAAACUGAAAACGGCUAAAGCUGGUGAAGGGUAAAGGCCGGAAGGAUCAUAUCCGAGGUGUGCGGGUCUGAAGUUGUGCCCUCACUUGAAGGCGCAACUCUGGUGCCCCUGCACACCACCUCCACCAGCACUGACAGAAACCGGCGAUCCCAGCUCCUCCGGCUUUUGUGGCCGCCACAGGCUUCCCCCUGACCGGGGGGAUCCCCGAGGAGGUUUUGGAGGGGGACCCGGGCCGGGACAGCCGCGCUGUGGGCGAACAACCUCACCCACCCCACCAUUUUGUCGCUGGGGGAGGCCUGGCAAGGCACGGCGCGAGAGGGAAAACCUGGGAGCAGCGCGGCUGGGCACAGGGACACCGCCGAGAAGGGGGGCCGGGGGGAGGCCGGCGCGAUCCCCGGCCCUGAGGGGAGCGUCCCCCGACCCGGCCCCGCCGCUCGUCGCCCCCUCCCCUUCCUUUCUUUCCCUCCCCUUCCCGGCAGGGCAAGGCGAGGCGAGGCGCGGGGCCAGUGGCCGUGGUGGCCCGGCGGCAGGUGUAGGCGCACGGCGGCGGCAGCACCCCCCCAGCCCUUCAGCCCCGCUCCCCGCCGCGACAGGCCGGCCGUCGGAGCGAGGGAAGCGCCUGCGCUCUCUGGGGCUGCGGCGAGCGUCGAGGAUCGCUGGAGCAGUGAAUUUCUCCUGCCCGAGUAACGGGGAACGGGACAAACCCGCUGCGGCUCUCAGGUGGAGGUGCUGCCGAACAUGCUGCUUUUUAUUCACGCGAGGGCUCCUGUAG
ensembl:lncRNA